GACGAACGCUGGCGGCGUGCCUAAUGCAUGCAAGUAGAACGCUGAAGAGAGGAGCUUGCUCUUCUUGGAUGAGUUGCGAACGGGUGAGUAACGCGUAGGUAACCUGCCUUGUAGCGGGGGAUAACUAUUGGAAACGAUAGCUAAUACCGCAUAACAAUGGAUGACACAUGUCAUUUAUUUGAAAGGGGCAAUUGCUCCACUACAAGAUGGACCUGCGUUGUAUUAGCUAGUAGGUGAGGUAACGGCUCACCUAGGCGACGAUACAUAGCCGACCUGAGAGGGUGAUCGGCCACACUGGGACUGAGACACGGCCCAGACUCCUACGGGAGGCAGCAGUAGGGAAUCUUCGGCAAUGGGGGCAACCCUGACCGAGCAACGCCGCGUGAGUGAAGAAGGUUUUCGGAUCGUAAAGCUCUGUUGUAAGUCAAGAACGAGUGUGAGAGUGGAACAUUCACACUGUGACGGUAGCUUACCAGAAAGGGACGGCUAACUACGUGCCAGCAGCCGCGGUAAUACGUAGGUCCCGAGCGUUGUCCGGAUUUAUUGGGCGUAAAGCGAGCGCAGGCGGUUUGAUAAGUCUGAAGUUAAAGGCUGUGGCUCAACCAUAGUUCGCUUUGGAAACUGUCAAACUUGAGUGCAGAAGGGGAGAGUGGAAUUCCAUGUGUAGCGGUGAAAUGCGUAGAUAUAUGGAGGAACACCGGUGGCGAAAGCGGCUCUCUGGUCUGUAACUGACGCUGAGGCUCGAAAGCGUGGGGAGCGAACAGGAUUAGAUACCCUGGUAGUCCACGCCGUAAACGAUGAGUGCUAGGUGUUGGAUCCUUUCCGGGAUUCAGUGCCGCAGCUAACGCAUUAAGCACUCCGCCUGGGGAGUACGACCGCAAGGUUGAAACUCAAAGGAAUUGACGGGGGCCCGCACAAGCGGUGGAGCAUGUGGUUUAAUUCGAAGCAACGCGAAGAACCUUACCAGGUCUUGACAUCCCGAUGCUAUUUCUAGAGAUAGAAAGUUACUUCGGUACAUCGGUGACAGGUGGUGCAUGGUUGUCGUCAGCUCGUGUCGUGAGAUGUUGGGUUAAGUCCCGCAACGAGCGCAACCCCUAUUGUUAGUUGCCAUCAUUCAGUUGGGCACUCUAGCGAGACUGCCGGUAAUAAACCGGAGGAAGGUGGGGAUGACGUCAAAUCAUCAUGCCCCUUAUGACCUGGGCUACACACGUGCUACAAUGGUUGGUACAACGAGUUGCGAGUCGGUGACGGCAAGCUAAUCUCUUAAAGCCAAUCUCAGUUCGGAUUGUAGGCUGCAACUCGCCUACAUGAAGUCGGAAUCGCUAGUAAUCGCGGAUCAGCACGCCGCGGUGAAUACGUUCCCGGGCCU
rnacentral:rRNA from 1 species